UAAAGAUCAGAGUAUCGCUGAUACGGCAAGGCUUGAGUGUUCCUCCCACCAACAGUGGCCAGAGGAGGGACAUCUCGCAACAAACGUGAAGGUCUUGCUGCCAGAGAUCACAGGACAACUUGUAGAGUCCAUGCCUCGCUCUAAAGCCGAGGGUUGGCGGCCAGGGAAAUGUGUUGUGCCAGGGUUGCCCACACCACCGCAGGCAGCGUUGGAUAAUUAAGCACCAGAUUAUCAAGUCAACACACUGUGUGUUUGACCCCAGCAUUGGGGGAAUCGUGGAGAGCGGAUACAGAGGCAUGGGUGGAGUCGUCAGUAUGCAGAUGGAUGUGAUUUACUGCUUUAUCAUGAUGCAAAUAAAAGAUGAGGUGUAGUGGCUUGAUUUUAGGACCAACUGCCCAACAACCAGUGAUUUGGAAAGAAAAUAUCCAAGAAGCAGAAGG